GAUUAUGGCUCAGGAUGAACGCUAGCGGCAGGCUUAACACAUGCAAGUCGAGGGGCAGCGGGAUGUAGCAAUACAUUGCCGGCGACCGGCGGAUGGGUGCGUAACGCGUAUGCAGCCUACCUUAUACAGGGGAAUAACCUUUCGAAAGGGAGACUAACACCCCAUGGUAUUGAUUUAAGGCAUCUUAGAUUAAUUAAAUAUUUAUAGGUAUAAGAUGGGCAUGCGUAUGAUUAGCUAGUUGGUAAGGUAACGGCUUACCAAGGCGACGAUCAUUAGGGGUUCUGAGAGGAAGGUCCCCCACACUGGUACUGAGACACGGACCAGACUCCUACGGGAGGCAGCAGUGAGGAAUAUUGGUCAAUGGGCGCAAGCCUGAACCAGCCAUGCCGCGUGCAAGGAAGACGGCCUUAUGGGUUGUAAACUGCUUUUACAUAAGACUAACCGUAUAUUUGCGAAUAUACCUGAAUGUAUUAUGAGAAUAAGGAUCGGCUAACUCCGUGCCAGCCGCCGC
rnacentral:rRNA from 1 species